CAUCAUUCAAGGCCAUUUAUAAUUUUUCUAUCUUUUGAGCAGCUCAACCCCUGAAUCCACAAGCAAAGGACUUACGAAGUACCAACAUAUUUUUUUCAAAUAAAAUACUUUACCUUAAUGCUUAGAAGGAUUGCUAAAUUAUUUUAUUUAAAUAUAUGCUUUUGGUUGUGUAACAAGAAUUUGAACAUGAUGCCUUGCCCCUUCAUUUAGAUGACAUGCUUAAAUACUUGAAUUAGAGUUUGUUUUGCCAUGCAUCUUUGAUAUAUUUUGUAAGCAAUUAUUGAAAAGCAAUUCUGUGUACUAACACUAUCAUAGUUCAUUAUACUCUACCAUCAGUGACUUAAUAUACUUUAAAUAUUUUAAUCUUAAUCCUUACUAAUUGUUAAUUCCCUUUUUAUGCUCAUUAUGGCAUUAUUCUUCCCCCUUGUGCUUCACUUAUUGUCUAAGAAUGAUUUUGCAACCGUCUAACAUAUUCCCCUGCAUUGAAAAAUAAUUUCCAAUUUAUAGUCCUACUUUUGUAGAUACACUCUGUAAUUGAUAAGAAAUUUCUCUUUUUUACUCAUAGUUUUGCACACAUGAUAGAUUUUCCUUCUUUCAUUGUUGCAUACCAUAAAAGAAUUUCGUAAGUUUUGAGAUCAGUGUGCAUUCAAUACCUAACCUGAUGUUCUCCCAUAGUAAUAAGAGAGGGGGAGGGGUGGGUGGAAGGAGCAACAUGAAAAGUAGUAAUGACAUUUUAUUAAACGUAAACAAAUAUCCAGCUACUGCAAAAUAAAUAAAUAGAUACCCAGAAAAUGUGCCCUAAAGCCAACGAUAAUAGAAGUAAAAGCAUAUUACACAUUGCAGAACUUUAGUACCAAUGCAACUGGGCAGAUCUUCAAGUUUAAACGCAUCAAACAAGAAAUAGCACCGGAUAAUAGACAAUUACAACACAGAAGGGUAAAAUUUCAAGCAUACAAUCAAAAAUAUGAACACCCAUUUGAUAGAUUUCAUGUGUGAAAUUGUCUGUCAAAAUAUAACAUCACAAUCACAUUUUCCUCUUCACUGACAAUCUCACUGAAUCCAUGAAACAGGUAAAUGAUCUCAUCUAAGCAAUUAGCUGUCAUAUAAAAGAACGGAAAGUAUAAUAUCUAUGAUGAUUCACAUCACAUCAACGUCCGUGUAAACCCAACUAAUCAUCUGCAUUGCUUUUCACUUUUUGCAUUAACGUAAUGAAAUCAAGCUACAGUCAAAUGGCUGAGAGAACUUACGUAGCGAUGGGAUAUUAGAAUUUGAAUCACUAGUGGAGCCAAAAGGAUGUUCAAGGAAUCAACGACAAAACCGUGUUUCCGCUUCUCUAAUUUUUUUUCUUUUGGCGUUUGUUGUUUGGCUCGUGAGAAA
rnacentral:misc_RNA from 1 species